UACGAAGGGGGCGAGCGUUGUUCGGAUUUACUGGGCGUAAAGGGCGCGUAGGCGGCGCGAGAAGUCGAGUGUGAAAGCCCCGGGCUCAACCUGGGAAUUGCGCUCGAUACUCUUGUGCUUGAGUUCGGGAGAGGUGAGUGGAACUGCGAGUGUAGAGGUGAAAUUCGUAGAUAUUCGCAAGAACACCCGUGGCGAAGGCGGCUCUCUGGGACGGUACUGACGCUGAGACGCGAAAGCGUGGGGAGCGAACAGG
rnacentral:rRNA from 1 species